UCCUAAACUCUAAAAUUCUAUUUCUAAUUAUCCUAUUUAUAUUCUGAUUAUGAAGUAAACUCUAAUCCUAAUAUUCCUAAUUAUGUUGUUAAGUCCUAAUUAAGCUAAAUAAUCCUAAUUAAUCCUAUAACUAAUUAAGAUUAUUUCUAAAAACUACAUAACAAAACAGAAAAACCUGAAAAGAGAGCAACGGGCCUUGGUGAAUGGUUGUUGCAAAGCCCAUCGGUGGGGGUGUAGGCCCGUGCACAGGGGGUGUAGGACGAAGUUCACUGGGCCUUAGGCCCAGUCAGCCAACACAUCACCACAGACCGUCCAGGUCCAUCGUAUCAUCUGUGACGUUGAAGUGAAAAUGGGGAAACGAAAGGCGCUUCUUCACCUAAGCACUCUCGUGACGCGCUUUUGGAUUUUCGGCCUCACACCAAUCUUGAUUUUGGAUGAAACUUGCAGAUUCGCAACAAAGCGGAACGACAUCGAAGCUCAGGUACGGCGGAUUCAUGGUGACAGUUGAUCCAGAAUGACCGCAUACGGAUCGCAAAAUGGAGUCUGACAUGGCGAAGCAUAAUCUAAUCGACAGAUUCACAUCACUAAGCUAAGCGAUGGUCGCAGGGUGCUUACCAGGAUCCGACACGGAGAUUCUUUGAAGUCGGCGUCGACUUCACCGUCGAAGUCUUUUUCGUUCCCUCAUCGGCUUUUCUUAUCUUCUUCUCAACCUGGCUAUUGAUUAUGUUAAUGGCGACGUUGUUGCGUAUUUGUGGUGAAAGAUUGGUUGUUGAAUAAUCCUCUUUCGUGCGAUGCGUUCAUCUACUUCAAGAUUUCAGUUGCCACCGUCGAUUCUCUGUUAUGCUCCAAUGGAUAGAAAACUGACUUGGUUUCAUGGAGAGGACGAAGUUCUAAAGAAUGUGAAGUUCUGAACCCCAACUUCUGAAGCAUGAUAUGUUUAUGCAUUUGGCUUGGCUUGGACGUUCAUUGCGCUCUCGCUGCUGUGAUUAUUGCGUUUGACAUUGUCGUGCAUUUGGCUAUGCGCAUCGUCACUUGCCGUUUUGGCUUGUGCUUCCGUCGUUUUGCACUUUGGUUUAUUUUACUACUGGUGUUGUUUUUUUCUGCUACCUGCUUUUUGCUAUUGGAUGCUGCUGUUUCGACGACUUGUGGCUAGGAGUGUUGCGUUUCAUAUUGCGGCGGCUGAUGCAGCUUGUAGUACUUGGCAUUCCCUUUUGCUGCAUUUCAUUUAUUGUUUUAUUAUUUCGAUAUUAAAAUAUGAAUUUGAAUAACAUGUUUUGGAUAAUGAAAUAUGCUAUGGAUGAAGAAAAGAAAAAGGUUUAUUAAUUGGAAAA